CCAGAGGAAUAUCUGUAAAGGUGUCAAGUUGAUUGUGACAAACCUCACAGUUGCUUAUGACCUAGCAGUAUAAUAUGACACUGAAGCUAAGAACUGGUGUGCUGGACAGUAAGAUUAGUCAGCUGAUCCUCACUAUGAGAUUAACAUUUAACCCAGUUGACAGAAGCAGACCUGGGACACAUAAAUAUUGAUGGCUGGGUAAGAGAAGCCAGAGAGAAGAACAGCAAAUGAAAUAACGGCUUUAGGGAUCCUGUGAUGAGCAGUUCCAAGGGAAUGACUGGACUCAGGGCCUACAUUUCACAUGGUGCAGAGGAAGCGGGGGUAAUAUCCUAUUGUCUGCUGUGCACCCCCCUCUCAACACUACAACUGUUUGAGAAAAACAGUCUGAAAGUAGACUAGAAGAAGGGAUACCAAUAACUCCAGGGACAAAAGCUUUUCCUGUUUUUAUGCUAUUUCUAUCAGACAAUAGACUUUCCUUGUCUUUGUUUCAUUUUAUAAAUAUGAACACAUAUACAUACAUACACACCCAGAUCAUAAACAAAUUAGCCACUAGUACUUUUCAGACACAGUGAGUAGAUUAACAAUGCUACAUAUUUCCCACUUUUAAUCACUUUGGGCUGUUUUUAUUUAUGUGAUGGUGACUUUAAAGUAAUACUGGACUAUUUAACCCAACAAAUUGCAAAUUGGUAUUUAAUCCUAACAGCUUUCCAACACAUUCAUCUCCAAAAUGGGCAGCAGCAUCUCAUUACCUAUGUUUCACCUGGGGAAAUAAAAUACCAAUAUCAGUGGAAAGUCUUCAGUCUGAAAAAUCUGGAAGAGGAAAAUCACAGCUGCAUUAGAUUCAACAUAAACAACAGAAUAGAAUCCAGUUUUUAAAGAUUUUUUUCACCCUUCUUUCACAUAGCCAUAUUGGGUAAUUAAAGAAAAAACAGAUAUAGAAAAUUAAUCCUCUGUGAAAUUUCAUUAUUUUUGUCCAAAAAUGGCAUGGCAGGGGUUAUAAAC